rnacentral:rRNA from 1 species
AGCGAAUAGAUACCCCGGUAGUCCUGGCCAUAAACGAUGAACACUAGGUGUAGGAGGCUUCGACCCCUUCUGCGCCGCCGCUAAACGCAUUAAGUGUUCCGCCUGGGGAGUACGGCCGCAAGGUUAAAACUCAAAGGAAUUGACGGGGGCCCGCACAAGCAGUGGAGCAUGUGGUUUAAAUUCGAUGCUACGCGAAAAACCUUACCAGGGUUUGACAUCCCAGUGUAAUCCCCUAGAAAUAGGGGACCCCUUCGGGCACUGGUGACAGGUGGUGCAUGGUUGUCGUCAGCUCGUGCCGUGAGGUGUUGGAUUAAGUUCCGCAACGAGCGCAACCCUCGUGGUUAGUUGCCAUCAUUAAGUUGGGCACUCUAGCCAGACUGCCGGCGUCAAGCCGGAGGAAGGUGGGGAUGACGUCAAAUCAUCAUGCCCCUUACAUCCUGGGCUACACACGUGCUACAAUGGGCAGUACAAACGGGUUGCCACACCGCGAGGUGGAGCGAAUCCUUCAAAAGCUGCUCUCAGUCCGGAUUGCAGGCUGCAAC